AGAAAAGACCACCACACCGCGCCGCGCGUGGGGUGCAGCGCACUACGCGAAGGAAAAAAACCACCGCGCUGUGGUGAGCCCCGCGCCCGUCCGCUUUCUCCUCCAUCCCCCUCGUCUCCAACCCUAAAAUCUUUUCCCCCUACAUCCGCUCAUCCCCUCCACUCCCUCGACAACGGUGGCGGCGGCCCCCUCUGGUGGCGGAGGAGGGGGGAGAUGGUGGCGUGGCGGCGACCUUCCCCCCUCGUCAUCCUGGAUCCCACCGACCCCAAGGCGUGCGGGCGCGGCGGCGACCUGCAAGGGAAGGGCGACGCUCGAAUCGAUCCAGCGCCAUGGAUCGGUCCCUGCGGGAGAAAGAGAAAAUGAGGGAGAGAGAAGGAAGGAGAGGAAGGAGAAAGAGAGAGGAAAGAGGAGAGGGAGGUGCAGCGUUGACUGACGGCUCGCGCGGUGGUGCGGCAGACGGCGGCCUCAGCGGGUGUGCGACAACACCACGCAGCUCCUGUGCCGCGCAACCCUCUCCUCGCAGGCUCAACAGGAGGUUCCCAAGCCAGCUCGGGCCGCUGCUACCUCUUCCUCGCCGCCCAACAGGUCGUCGUGCUGGGGGAGCAGGGUAGCAUCGGGUCCACAGGCUGGGGUGGAGGCCUUCCCAACUUGGACUGCGCGUCCUCCUCUUCGCCGCGUCAUCGCCCUGGCCAGCUGAGCACCAACCCGACGGCUCCAGCAUCCGAUGCCAACACAACGAGGUAUACUCCAAUCAAACAUGUGAAUAUUUACCAGAGUGCUUCAAGAUCGAUCUGAUGAUCCACUACCGCUUUGCUUUUGGGACUAAUUUGGAUGGGAAUGGUGAUUUCAUGGUUGAUUAUGAUUACUUGGUUCUUGCUCUUGGAGUUACUGUGAAUACAUUCAACACUCCUAGUAUGAUGGAGCAUUGCCACUUUCUGAAGGUAGUGGAGGAUGCCCAAAAGAUUCGAAAGAGUGUGAUAGACUGCUUUGAAAAGGCGUCACUUCCUAACCUCAGUGAAGAGGAGAAAAGGAAGAUCCUUCACUUUGUGAUUAUCGGUGGUGGACCUACUGGGGUUGAAUUUGCCGUGGAGUUGCAUGAUUUUCUUGUCGAAGAUCUGGUGAAGCUAUAUCCUGCAAUUGAAGAAAACUCUCAACUCCUACUUGCGCUCCGCCUCUUCCUCCUUUCCAUCUCUCAAUAGGAGGCAGCUCAUCUGGCCGUGCAGCGGACUGCGUCCUCAGCGGGUCGGUGAUGGAGGUUGCAGCUGGUGCACGAUGGCGAUUCCAACGACAACAGGAAUCUGCAACUUGUUACACUUCUUUGCAACCCCAACAAGGCCCUCGUCUGCUUUGUCUACAUAUAUGCAUGAUUUCUAUGAUUGGAAUCAGAUGGCACUAACUAUGUGUCAGACUGCUAAUAUUUAUUUGCUUGAUGAUCCUUGAAGCGCACUCUACGCUCAUACAUGAUCCCACAUAUUCUAGAUGCUUUCUUGAGGUUUUGGCUAAAAAUCUGUGGUGUACGUCACUCAUCAGGUAACUAUGACGGGCUAAUGCCUUAAGCUGGGACAUACAACAAAAUACUUAUUUUAUGGGAGGAGUUUAUGGAACUGGGUAGUGCUCAUCAGGAUGCUCUUGCAGCAAUUGACACAAUCGAUGUGGCUAAUGGAGCUAUGUUCCGUUUAAAAAGAAAUUCCAUACGCAGAUUUAAUGUGUACGAUCGAACUAUCUUUAGUUUAUUAAGGUUCCUAUCUUUAGACAGUCAUAUCCACGUUCGUACUUUUAGAAUAGUUGUUGCAACGGGGAAGAGCAUUUCUGCAAUAGCAAGAUAUCAGGACCCAAUGGGCAUAGGCCAAACCAACCACCAUCACUAUUGCUUCAGGAUUAGAUAGCUAACUUCCACUCAUAGCCUGUCGAGUCAAGUUUCAGACUGAUCAUGUAUCCCCUUGAUAUUCACUGGAUGGAAUCCCUUGUUUUACUCAAACUGAACCUUCUACAAACAUCGGAAAAGCAACAGCAAUAAAGAUGGACAGAAAUUCCAAAAAUAAGGUGUUUUUUUAUGGAUGUACCUGGUUGCGAUGAAGCUAAACAAGAAAUAAUGCUAUCACUUAUUACCUUUGUCCUUCAAAUUUGAGUAUAGGCCUGCGAAAUAAUGAAUAUUUGUGUCUCAUUGCUCCAGCAUGGUCAAUAAAGAUAUGUUGACCCAGGAAAUAGGUUGGAUGGAGCAUCGAGGAUUUCAGGCUUGGGGUGGCCACGUGUUGCAGGAAAGCAGGAAGAGUUGGAUGUGUUCUGUAGAGACCAGGUGAUCAAUGUCGUUGCCGCCAGGAGAGGGAGCUACGACGGCAGGAGAAGAAUGCAAUGAGGUGCGGUCUUCUGUUCGAUGCCAAGGGCCUGUCCGGCAGUGAUUUCCUCGGGAUGAUCUACAUGAUAUAACAAAAGGAUUUUAUAUGCGUUUGUGUGCUUCAGAAAAGGUACAUUUAGAAGUCACAAUAGAGAAGGUUCGUAGCCUUGGCUCCAAAGCUUCAAGCUCUUAUAGAAAUUAGAACUGAGGGCCUUUUAAAAUGAGUCCUGCAUAAUAGUGUUGUUCAGUAGGAUGCAGAAUUUUUGUUUGUCUGAUCGGCUAUCCUUGGUGCUGAUUUACGUACUGAUUUCAUCAUCAUAUGACUACAAUAAAGAAGUUGUGUGUAUAAAUAUUUCUAACUGCUGAUACUUUGCAUCAGUGAUUUCAAUUCUGUUGGCCCUCCUUAACAUUGCUUGGGAAUGUGAGGCUUAAAAGUUUCAACCCUGUGCAAUGUGCUUUUCGGGUGUGGGUUUGUGUCUGACUAAUUAACGCUUCUGUU